UACGUAGGGUCCGAGCGUUGUCCGGAUUUAUUGGGCGUAAAGAGCUCGUAGGCGGUUCCGUAAGUCAGAUGUGAAAACUCAGGGCUCAACCCGGAGUCGCCAUCUGAUACUGCGGUGACUGGAGUCUGGUAGGGGAACACGGAAUUCCUGGUGUAGCGGUGAAAUGCGCAGAUAUCAGGAGGAACACCGAUGGCGAAGGCAGUGUUCUGGGCCAGUACUGACGCUGAGGAGCGAAAGCGUGGGGAGCAAACAGG
rnacentral:rRNA from 1 species